CGCCGGCGCAUUAGCUAGUUGGUGAGGUAAGGGCUCACCAAGGCGACGAUGCGUAGCCGACCUGAGAGGGUGAUCGGCCACAUUGGGACUGAGACACGGCCCAAACUCCUACGGGAGGCAGCAGUAGGGAAUCUUCGGCAAUGGACGAAAGUCUGACCGAGCAACGCCGCGUGAGUGAAGAAGGUUUUCGGAUCGUAAAACUCUGUUGUUAGAGAAGAACAAGGAUGAGAGUGGAAAGUUCAUCCCUUGACGGUAUCUAACCAGAAAGCCACGGCUAACUAC
rnacentral:rRNA from 1 species